rnacentral:rRNA from 1 species
AGGAUAAACGCUGGCGGCGUGCCUUACGCAUGCAAGUCGAACGGUGUCCUUCGGGGCACAGUGGCGGACGGGUGAGUAACACGUACGUGACCUGACGCAAAGAGGGGGAUACCCAUCCGAAAGGGUGGCUAAUACCGCAUGUGGUCUUCCGGGGAAGCCGGGAGAGUAAAGGACUUCGGUCCGCUUUGUGAGGGGCGUGCGGCCGAUUAGCUAGUUGGUGGGGUAACGGCCUACCAAGGCGACGAUCGGUAGCUGGGCUGAGAGGCCGAACAGCCACACUGGGACUGAGACACGGCCCAGACUCCUACGGGAGGCAGCAGCGAGGAAUUUGCGCAAUGGGCGAAAGCCUGACGCAGCAACGCCGCGUGGGUGAGGAAGGCCUUCGGGUCGUAAAGCCCUGUGGGGAGAGACGAAUAAGUCGGAGCCAAUACCUCCGGCGGUGACGGUAUCUCCUUAGCAAGCACCGGCUAACUCUGUGCCAGCAGCCGC